CAGCUGCCAAGACAUAGUCUGGCUGCGGUAUCACACUUGCUGUCUCAGGGUAAACCUCCUGAGUCACAGUCUGAAUAUGACGACUAUUUUCUGUCCAUAUUUCUCUCUUGAUACGACACAACUCUGGCACGAACUCAACACCAUUUUCUCCAGCGUGUUACGAGAGCCAGCAGAGAGUGAAUGGAUGUCUGGGUCGGAGGCAGCAGUUGGCGUACAUUCCUCAUUCCCCUGAAGCAGACUGUGUGGCGGGAUGUUAAGCUGUGAGGUGGGAUUGGAGGAGAUGGAGGGCAAGCAGAAGCAAGGGACCCUUGGAGAAAACGUGGCUCCAACUGAGAACAAACAAGGCGGCAAAGUCCCCGAGCCCACCACCCGACAACGGCCCCAACUGCUCGCUGCUGACUGGACGGUGCACGGCUCAAAGGGAUAUCGGGUUUCUGUUUGUGUCGCUUCCAUUGUGUCGGACACAGGAUGGUCGUGCAAUUGCUCAGGAACAAUACACAGCAGACCUGUAUGUUUAGAGCACACAGCCGAGUUGCAGUUGACUGAGGUCGUGAGCGAGCCUGUUCACAAAGAAAAAACAACAACAACAAAAACCCUACAGUGAAGUGCUGACUCUGGAGUGCCAGCUCAUCUAAUGCAAUCAUAAUGUUUUCUCUCCAAAGAACCCUGCUGUUGCUACACUUGUAAAACUCCCCUCAUUAUUGUUAGACUUGGUCUGGGCUUUGAGGUUUUCUAACUGGAAAUAGAUACGUUGCUGUCCUUUUGAAAACAGCUCCGCUGGAUUUAGGUUCAAAAUUCCCCGUCUGGUUCAGCAGAAUACACACAAUUGGUGGAUUCAGGUAUUGUUUUAUUAUGAAUUCAAUGAAAAUUUAAAUAUCAAGUGAAAAGAAGCUUUCUGGAAAUAUUAGCAAGCUGUGUGCCAUGUCAAGAGUGGAGUGUUUAUAUUGUUGCUGUCUGGCAUGUCAAUGCCAGACAGCAACAGCUUGAUAUGUAUUAAGGAAGUAAAAAAAGGGAAACUCACACAAUCCAGGUACUUGCACAAAUAUUAUCAUGCUCUAAUAAGCGUCCACAAACUAAAAGUGAUGGAGAAUAAUUUGUGCUGGAAUGGAAGUGGGAACUUUUCUCCACUGUAUGGAAAAGUUCAAGGAAUGAGUUAUGAAAGACUUGGGUGGGUGCUUUGGUUCUGCAAAGGCUUUGACUGCUCAUUUGUAAUUAUUAGAAUGACACAUGUCAAAUACUGAGAAUAUAUAUGAGCUGCCAUUGUUUUUAAUAAAUGACAGAAAAAAAAAAGGUUUAAAGUCCAGGAUUAUUAAGUUUGGACAAAUCCAGUGGCUGAGACAGCAUCCUAUACGUCUAUGCUCGGAUGAUUGAAAGGUCGUUCCAAGGUGCCUGAUUACAUUUGAAUUCCUUUAGUAUAUGGUUAUGUUUUUUAUUCUGCAUCAUACUCAGUGUGAUUCAGUGCUCUAGAAGAAGAAUUGCAAUAAUUGUGUUGCAGUUGUGUUUGUUGCUAAAUUCUAAACUAUUAAGAGAACUGCAGGUUCAGAUUCGACUGAUCAGUUGGAGGAUCAAUAUGCUUUAAUCCAGCCAUUUUCUCAUUGGUCGGACCAUCUUCAGUGUAACUUUGAUUUUUUUUUUUUUUUUUAAGUAAGAUAACCUCAUAUUUUUCCUUUGGUGAAGGAAGUGAAUCAAUAAUUAAGAUCCAACAAUCAUCUAUAUGACUCCAUGAUUCUGAAUAGUGGCUACUUAAAGACUUUAAUGCUAAAAUGUUUUGACUACAUAUAACUUAAGCUGGUUAUUAUUUUUACUUACCUUAAAGGUUAAAGUUUAAACUUUAUUUUUCUACACUCUAUUUAUUUCAUGUCACAUAUUCUUAAUUCUUAAUUAAGUCCCUUGAGAUAUUAUAAAGUGUUUAGUCUAUUAUUAACAGUUUGAUAUUGUCUGCUGUAAAUUAACUAUUGAGUAACCAGGUUAGAAUUAUUUCAAAUGAUGAAAACGCCACUGUUUUAUGUUUGUCUUUAUAAUUCUUGUAAGCUAUGAAAUCUAGCAAGUAGACAGCACUGGCUGAUUUGGUUAAUCUACAAGCAUGCAAGUUAUUGUGAUCAUUUAGGCCACAUCAUGUUAAGUAGCUUGGUGGUGUGGUUGUUAGUACCGUGACCUCACAGUAAUGCGGUCCAGAGUUCAAAUUAAGGCUUGGACCUCUCUGUGUGAAGCUUGCGAGUACUUCCUGUGUGAAUGGUUGUCUCUGUGCAAGCCUUGAAUUGUAUCUUUAGCAGUGGAUGCACUGAGCAAUGCUUUAUGGAAGGGAACACGUCAAAUUUUAUUCCACAGUUCAAAGCUGGAGAUCGUUCACAAAAAGAAAAAAUAAACAUUAAUCAUGAGUGAUGUAAAUGUUAAAAAGGAAUGAAUUCCAUUUCUUGUCCUUGCUGUCGUUGUUUUUAUAUCCUGCAUAAAAUAACUUAGAAGUAUUAG
rnacentral:lncRNA from 1 species